rnacentral:rRNA from 1 species
AGAGUUUGAUCCUGGCUCAGGAUGAACGCUGGCGGCGUGCUUAACACAUGCAAGUCAUGGGGGCCCAGCAAUGGGCAACCGGCGAACGGGUGCGUAACACGUGAGCAACCUACCCAGGUGUGGGGGAUAGCCGUCCCAACGGACGGGUAAUACCGCAUACGCUCAACACGAGGCAUUUCGAGUUGAGGAAACCUUCGGGGCACCAUGAGGGGCUCGCGGCCUAUCAGCUAGUUGGCGAGGUAACGGCUCACCAAGGCUACGACGGGUAGCUGGUCUGAGAGGAUGGCCAGCCACAUUGGGACUGAGAAACGGCCCAGACUCCUACGGGAGGCAGCAGUGGGGAAUCUUGCGCAAUGGCCUAACGGCUGACGCAGCGACGCCGCGUGAGGGAUGACGCUCUUCGGAGUGUAAACCUCUUUUGCCUGGAACGAACUAUCAGCUUCAGCUGACUUGACGGUACCGGGUGAAUAAGCACCGGCUAACUCCGUGCCAGCAGCCGCGGUAAUACGGGGGGUGCGAGCGUUGUCCGGAAUCACUGGGCGUAAAGGGCGCGUAGGUGGCGUGAUAAGGGUGUGGUGAAAGCCCGGGGCUCAACCCCGGGUCGGCCAUGCCGACUGUCAGGCUCGAGUACUGUAGGGGCAGGCGGAAUUCCGGGUGUAGCGGUGGAAUGCGUAGAGAUCCGGAGGAAGACCGGUGGCGAAGGCGGCCUGCUGGGCAGUUACUGACACUGAUGCGCGACAGCGUGGGGAGCAAACAGGAUUAGAUACCCUGGUAGUCCACGCCGUAAACGAUGGGUACUAGGUGCCUGGGGGAGCGACCCCUUGGGUGCCGGCGCUAACGCAGGAAGUACCCCGCCUGGGGAGUACGGCCGCAAGGCUGAAACUCAAAGGAAUUGACGG